UACAAGUCGGGAGCACUGCGUGUGGAUACUAUGUCAUGAAGUAUAUGAGAGAAAUUGUAAAUAGGGGAAGCAUUGUCAUCUCCAAUUCGAUUGAUACAUGAAAACCAUACUCACAGGCCGAGUUAGAUGAGCUUUCUUCACCAUGAAGCCUAGCUCUAUCGAACUUCUACAACAAUUUAAAGGCGUGGUUCUGAUCACCGAACACUUCAUGGAUCAGAUCUACUCAUCGUUUAAAUGGAAAUCUUUUGAUCUCAACGCCUUAAGGACUCAGUUGUCUACUGAUUGUUCUUCAAUUUUGAAGACGCAAUACCUAAUCUUCUCAAAGUCGUCGUGGAAAGUGCCACCAUGAAGGCUCAAUUUCUCUUGCAUCCAUUUGCCGCCCACAACUGCACCACGCUGGCAGCUUUAGUUGUGUCGUACACUGUUUCUGCCAUUGGUGAAUUGCUCUGUAAUGUGUAUUCUUGAUUUUUAAUUGGAUACUCAAAAGAUUUUGAUAUUCUUUUACUCAAACAGCAGUGACUGUGACUUCGAAUCGAGCUUUAGAGAGUGCAAUUAGAAACAACGUUGGCUUGGGUCAAAGACUAAGCAUUCUGUGUUGGAGGGUGGAAAUAAUUAAGAGAUGUUGAAUUUCAUUAAUGUGAUAUGUAACUCUAAGGAAUUUCAUUUUUUCUUUUAA